rnacentral:rRNA from 1 species
AUGAUGUCCUUGAGCUUCUUCCGGAGGCCCGCGGUGACGGAGGUGCGGGUGCGGUCGAGGGUGGUGCCCUCCUGGCAGCCCGCGGAGAGCCUGCGCUGCGCGGCGUUGGCGAGGUCCAUGUCCGCGAGCGCGCGCUGGAUCCCGCGCGCGCGGCCGAGCACGGCGACGAUGUCGGCGUUGACGCGGACGCGCAUGGCGCGCAGCGCGUCGGGCUGGUGCAGCGACUUGCCCUCCUCGUUGGCGGCGUGCAGGCGGGCGAGCGCGUCGCGGAUGGCCGCCAUCUCCUCGCGGACCGCCUCCGCCUCCCUGAAGAAGCCCUUGAGGCGCUCGUCGGUGGCGCCGCCGCCGCCGGCCUGGGUGAGCUCGGUCCCGGUCUCGUCGCCGCCCGCCUCGAGGUCCUUCAUGGCCGCCUUCUUCAGGUCGACGUAG